UAUUGAUGUGGAAGUUUCACCAGAUGUCAGUAGCAACCCAAGUAAUACACACAUAUAAAGAAGCCAAAACAACUAAGUACAGAAAUUAAAUUAUGUGUAAUAAUGUGAAAUGAGACAGGAAAAUACCUACUGAACACAUGAAGUAAGGGAGGUGCAAAAAGGCACGUAAAG